rnacentral:rRNA from 1 species
UACAGAGGUCUCAAGCGUUGUUCGGAUUCAUUGGGCGUAAAGAGCUCGUAGGCGGUUUGGCAAGUCGGGUGUGAAAUUUCGAGGCUCAACCUCGAAACGCCACUCGAUACUGCCAUGACUGGAGUCCGGUAGAGGAGUGCGGAAUUCCUGGUGUAGCGGUGAAAUGCGCAGAUAUCAGGAGGAACACCAACGGCGAAGGCAGCACUCUGGGCCGGUACUGACGCUGAGGAGCGAAAGCGUGGGGAGCAAACAGG